UUGGAGGGCAAGUCUGGUGCCAGCAGCCGCGGUAAUUCCGGCCCCAAUAGCGUAUAUUAAAGUUGUUGCAGUUAAAAAGCUCGUAGUUGAAUUUCGGGGUUAGUAGGCUGGUCAUGCCACAGGUAUGCACUGGUCUUACUGAUUCCUCCUUCCUGAUGAACCGUAAUGCCAUUAAUUUGGUGUUGCGGGGAGUCUGGACUGUUACUUUGAAAAAAUUAGAGUGUUUAAAGCAGGCUAACGCUUGAAUACAUUAGCAUGGAAUAACGAAAUAGGACGUUCGAUCUUAUUUUGUUGGUUUCUAGGAUUGACGUAAUGAUUAAUAGGGAUAGUUGGGGGCAUUAGUAUUCAAUUGUCAGAGGUGAAAUUCUUGGAUUUAUUGAAGACUAACUACUGCGAAAGCAUUUGCCAAGGAUGUUUUCAUUAAUCAAGAACGAAAGUUAGGGGAUCGAAGACGAUCAGAUACCGUCGUAGUCUUAACCAUAAACUAUGCCGACUAGGGAUCGGAUGAUGUUAAUUUUAUAAUGACUCAUUCGGCGCCUUACGGGAAAC
rnacentral:rRNA from 1 species